rnacentral:rRNA from 1 species
UUGGGUAACCGUGGUAAUUCUAGAGCUAAUACAUGCUGAAAAUCCCGACUCCGGAAGGGAUGUGUUUAUUAGAUUCAAAACCAACGCCCUCUGGGCUCACUGGUGAUUCAUAAUAACCGCUCGAAUCGCACGGCCUUGCGCUGGCGAUGGUUCAUUCAAAUUUCUUCCCUAUCAACUUUCGAUGUUUGGGUAGUGGCCAAACAUGGUUGCAACGGGUAACGGAGGGUUAGGGCUCGACCCCGGAGAAGGAGCCUGAGAAACGGCUACUACAUCCAAGGAAGGCAGCAGGCGCGCAAAUUACCCAAUCCCGACACGGGGAGGUAGUGACAAUAAAUACCGAUAUAGGGCUCUUUUGGGUCUUAUAAUUGGAAUGAGUACAAUUUAAAUCCCUUAACGAGGAACAAUUGGAGGGCAAGUCUGGUGCCAGCAGCCGCGGUAAUUCCAGCUCCAAUAGCGUAUAUUAAAGUUGUUGUGGUUAAAAAGCUCGUAGUUGAACCUUGGGCCUGGCUGGCCGGUCCGCCUCACCGCGUGCACUGGUCCGGCCGGGCCUUUCCCUCCGCGGAACCCCAUGCCCUUCACUGGGCGUGGCGGGGAAACGGGACUUUUACUUUGAAAAAAUUAGAGUGCUCCAGGCAGGCCUAUGCUCGAAUACAUUAGCAUGGAAUAAUGAAAUAGGACGCGCGGUUCUAUUUUGUUGGUUUCUAGGACCGCCGUAAUGAUUGAUAGGGACAGUCGGGGGCGUCAGUAUUCAACCGUCAGAGGUGAAAUUCUUGGACCGGUUGAAGACUAACUACUGCGAAAGCAUUCGCCAAGGAUGUUUUCAUUAAUCAGGAACGAAAGCUAGGGGAUCGAAGACGAUCAGAUACCGUCGUAGUCUUAGCCAUAAACUAUGCCG